UUCUCAUGCUUAUUUAAGCGAGCCUUUGGUUUAGGUAAGUUUAAGGUUUGUAUUUAUUUCGGACCAGUUAACAAAACUCAAGCCCAUGCCCUUUCAGUUAAGAUUUUACGUUUCGAACCAGAAUCCAAAACUCAGUCUAAGUGGGUUAUAGGCUAGCUAGUGAUAACGUAAUUUAUCUUUUUAUUUUGCUUUUUUGUUUAUAACGUAACUUUAUUAGCUAAAUGUAUGGAGUGCGAGAGUGUGCGCCGUGUGCAUAGGAUGUAUGGGGUUUAGGCUAAACUAAAGGAAUUACAAUUUUGAGAGUAUAUUUAAAGAGAAAAUAUAUCUUUUCUGAACAAAAGGUCUAAUUUCCCAACAUCAGCAAAAUUUAUUGAAUUUCGUUAUACUAAAAUUAUAAUCUGCUAGUAUUAAAAGUAAAUAGAAGGAAAAAUCCGGAUUUCGAAGUUUGGUAGGCA